rnacentral:rRNA from 1 species
GACGAACGCUGGCGGCGUGCCUAACACAUGCAAGUCGAACGGAAAGGCCCUGCUUUUGUGGGGUGCUCGAGUGGCGAACGGGUGAGUAACACGUGAGUAACCUGCACUUGACUUUGGGAUAACUUCAGGAAACUGGGGCUAAUACCGGAUAGGAGCUCCUGCUGCAUGGUGGGGGUUGGAAAGUUUCGGCGGUUGGGGAUGGAUUCGCGGCUUAUCAGCUUGUUGGUGGGGUAGUGGCUUACCAAGGCUUUGACGGGUAGCCGGCCUGGGAGGGUGACCGGCCACAUUGGGACUGAGAUACGGCCCAGAAUCCUACGGGAGGCAGCGGUGGGGAGUAUGACGCAAUGGGCGGGAGCCUGAUGCAGCAACGCCGCGUGCGGGAUGACGGGUUUCGGGUUGUGAACCGCUUUGGCCGGAGACGAGGCGAGAGUGACGGUAAUGGGUAAAGAAGCCCCGGCUAACUACGUG